rnacentral:lncRNA from 1 species
CGAGGGGAAGUGCAUAAAAUUGAAAUUUUAGAGUUAAAAUUAAGUGUUAUAGGGCAUGGAAAUGUGCAAGGCAAGCAUGAAAAGGGGGAAAAAUUCUAAACGCCCACCGCUCAGCGGUAAGCCAACAUUGAGCGGUGACGUCGCAGAUUGCGAAUUGGGCUUUUUAAAAGCUCAGCGUUAAGAGGCCCGUCUGCACUUUUUAAAUACCCCUUAGGGCUCGCCCAAGCGUUCUCUACAGACCUCCAAACUUUGCUUUCAUUCUCAAGAUCUUUUCAAAGGGUUUUCCUUCCCUUUUCUCAUCACCCACUCACUAAAACUCCAUAGUUCUUCAGUUUUCACCAUUCCUUUGACAAAAGUUUGGGGUUUUUGGAGAGCAUUGCAUUGGGGAAGCAUCAUCAUCAUUCCAAGAGCACUUGCAAGCAUCUAGAGUAUCUCC